rnacentral:lncRNA from 1 species
AUUUUUUAUAACCUUCCUUACUAAAAAUUCUGCUUUACCUUUUUUUAACUUUAAAUGAGGUUUCAAUGUUUACAUUUUAGUUUGAUUAUAAACAAUGAGUCUUAUCUCAGCACCAGCAGCUUAGUAACAGCAGAUUUAAAGCAGGUAGAAAAACAGAGGCAGAAAACUUUCAAAGACUUAACUCUAUAGUGCAGGUUAACCAUUUGAGCUUUGAGUUUUCCUGUUAUAGUUUGCCAAUCAGUUUGAAAUGUGCACAAAAAGAGGCUGUAAUAGGUAACCAGCUAGAGUUUUAAAGAGAACAACAAAAUCAGGGGUUAGGAUGUCAGAAUCUGCCUUCUCCUUUUUAAUGCUGGACCCCUGGAUUGAACAGGAAAAAAAGAAAAAAAGAAAAGAGAGGAGUGGAGAGGAGAAGGUUAAGCUUUAUAGGAUGGCUUGUGAGCCUUCCAGCCACUGCACAUUGUAGUUCAGGGCUAGCACCCCUCCCACCCUUGUUUUUCUUCCAUCAGAGAGAGCCUUAGCACCCUAGACUGCAAAGUGUGGGAUGAAUUCUUCCCACCUCCGCAAGUCACGAGUUAAGGUGAGCUGUUUUCAAAGAUGAGAGCCCAUUCAGCUGAAAGCCAUUGAGGGUUGGGAUUCUUUCGUGGGGGCCCUUUGGCUUUCAGGGCAGUUCCAUUUCCAGUGGCCAAGCAUGUAGCCAAGCAGGCAAGCUGUGUGAGGUUUUUCCCCAUUAAUCUCAUUGAGGCAGUUUGUCUUUUAGUGGCCUGGCCCUCUGCACCAGUGGCAGUUAU